GCAAAUGAAGUCAAUACAGAUAUAUGUAUGUAGAUGUACGCACAAGCACAAGUAUGCAGAUGGGAACCUCCGCUAUAAAAAUACAAUAUUUAUGAGUAGCUGUGAAAAUUUUGUACACUUUUGGUUUAGUCGAUAUAAAGCACCGCAACAGUGUACAACGAAAAUGGGAAAAGUAGGAAAUGCUGAGUUGUUCAGCAAUGAACAAUUCAGUUGGGUGGAAAAAUUUACGUAAAAUUUUGCAGAACAGCUAAGAAAAUUGCGUAAAUUCUUAUUGAAGUUCUACAGCGAACGAAAUACGAACAAAUUAAUUAAUAAAAGUCGAUCGAAAUUUUCUAAAAGUUAUGGCGAUAAUUUGUUGAUAACUUUACGAAAUAGCUGUGAUAUUUUUUAUUUUAAAUAUCUAACUUAUACGGUUGGAAGAAAUUUUCCUAAAAUUUUCAAUGAUUUAUGUCGCUAAGCACAAGUUGUGUCCUGUGGAAAGCCGAUAGCGGAAGAGCUGAGCUGCGUAUGGAAAAUUGCACAGCAGCGCAGUAACGGAGUUGGUAAUGGGGACAGUUAGGCAACAGCCAAGUCACAAUGUUGGUCGCCUCACAUUCACCAAUAUCGACACUCUGCUGGUAGUCACUCAGGUCCAACAGUGAUAUUCUAAUAAAGUGAUUGUGGUGACCUUUGGCCACUCAAAUACACAAAACGCCCAUUUGCUAUAAUUGCAUUUUAUUUUUAAAAUAUUUGUAAGCGUCGGGUUGACUGUGAUAUUUUAUGUGUAUUUAUCGUAAAUCUAAAAACCGGAAAAUGGCGAAAAUGGGUAGGUGUAGUAUAUUUCACAUUACUUCGCACAUUUUUGGCAGACUCCGUAAAUUUAGAUUUAUGAUAAAUUGUGAUAAGAAACUGUGAUAUAUUUUGUGUUCAUUUUUUUGUAUAAAACUACAAAAGAAGAAAAAAAGAGAAAAAUAAAGAAAAUAGAAAAAAAAAUUAAAUAAAAGUACCUACACUAAAACCGAAA